rnacentral:rRNA from 1 species
AAACCGACACAGGUAGAUGAGGAGAGAAUCCUAAGGUGAGCGAGAGAACUCUCGUUAAGGAACUCGGCAAAAUGAACCCGUAACUUCGGGCGAAGGGGUGCUCUAUUAGGGUGCAAGACAGAGAGAGCCGCAGUGAAUAGGCCCAGGCGACUGUUUAGCAAAAACACAGGUCUCUGCAAAACCGUAAGGUGACGUAUAGGGGCUGACGCCUGCCCGGUGCUGGAAGGUUAAGAGGAGUGCUUAGCUU